AUACGGAGGGUGCAAGCGUUAAUCGGAAUUACUGGGCGUAAAGCGCGCGUAGGCGGCUUGUUAAGUCGAAUGUGAAAGCCCCGGGCUCAACCUGGGAAUUGCAUCCGAUACUGGCAAGCUAGAGUAUGAUAGAGGGCAGUGGAAUUCCAGGUGUAGCGGUGAAAUGCGUAGAUAUCUGGAGGAACAUCAGUGGCGAAGGCGACUGCCUGGAUCAAUACUGACGCUGAGGUGCGAAAGCGUGGGGAGCAAACAGGAUUAGAUACCCGGGUAGUCC
rnacentral:rRNA from 1 species